UGGGGGAUAUUGCACAAUGGGGGAAACCCUGAUGCAGCAACGCCGCGUGAAGGAUGAAGGUUUUCGGAUUGUAAACUUCUGUUCUUAGUGACGAUAAUGACGGUAGCUAAGAAGAAAGCUCCGGCUAACUACGUGCCAGCAGCCGCGGUAAUACGUAGGGAGCGAGCGUUGUCCGGAUUUACUGGGUGUAAAGGGUGCGUAGGCGGCAGAGCAAGUCAGGCGUGAAAGCCAUGGGCUUAACCCAUGAACUGCGCUUGAAACUGUUCUGCUUGAGUGAAGUAGAGGCAGGCGGAAUUCCCGGUGUAGCGGUGAAAUGCGUAGAGAUCGGGAGGAACACCAGUGGCGAAGGCGGCCUGCUGGGCUUUAACUGACGCUGAGGCACGAAAGCAUGGGUAGCAAACAGGAUUAGAUACCC
rnacentral:rRNA from 1 species